CUGCGGCCCUUUCUUUGUAUAGACUGGAAUACUAUCAAUAUCAUUAUCAAUAUCAUUAAACUAUUGGUGCUAUUAGUUUUUUAGCGUUUGGAUUGAGAAAUGUGUGGUUAGGAUAAUGUGGGCUCUCUAGGGUUGAGUAGGUGGUUGGUUGAAUAAUAUAAUCUAACAGAUAAAAAUAAUCAAAGCGUUAAAUCUAACGGUGGAAAACUCAAUAGCAUCAAACCCUUGGUGCUAUCAAUAAUAUCCAAGCCAGACUCUAUAUAUAUAUAUAGAGAGAGAGAGAGAGAGAGAGAGAGAGAGAUAGGUUGGUAUACUAUCGGUAGCAUGGAGACCUCCGUGCUACUAAGUUGUUUUCAAUGAUGCGAUUUCCAAAUCGACGAUCAGCUCCGUUAGAUUUGAUCUACAUUAUUAAAAGUAUUUGAAAAUUAAAUUUCAUAAUUUUUUGGCAUAAUUUAUCUAUCAAACGAGUAGUCAAAAAAUAAACGGCUGAAAAUAAAAAUCUCAUAAAAAAUGAUGAUAAAAGAUUUGAAUUUAAGAUUAUAGGCAUUGAUCAUACUCUAAAUAGUGAAAAGAAUUUUUUGUAAAAAUUUCAUCAGAUUUGAAUUGUUUUACACCGUUAAAUUCACAAACGUAUCACAUCUACCAUUAAAAUUGUCAAUUUUGAAAUCGUUUGAUCACUAGCCAAAUGAUGUCGAAAAAUUAUAAAAUUUAGUUUCCAAAUACUUUGAAUAGUGUAGAUCAAGUCUUACGGAGUCGAUCGUCGAUUUGGAAGCCGUAUCAUUGAAAACAACUUGGUAGCACGGAGGCCUCUGUGCUACCGAUAGUAUACCAGCCUAGCUCUCUUUCUCUCUAUAUAUAUCUAUUAACCUAUAUGAAUCCCCAAUAUUUGUUGCCACGUGGCAAAUUUUCCUUCAUCCUCACUAACAUUUGACCCUUCUUUUUCUCUUCACCAAACUUUCAAUAUGCAUUUUAACGGUCCCACUAACCAAACUUUCAAAUAGUGCAUCCCACUACCAUCUAUAAUUCUAUCGUUUCUAUCUACUAUUAUUCAUCAUGACUCUCUCCCUUUCCUCUACUAGACUUUCAAUUAAUGCAAACAAUCCCAUUAGCUACCAAACUUUCAAUUAAUAUAUUUAAAUGGUUCCACUAUCAUCUACAGUCCUAACCUCUCUAUCUCUAAUUAUUCAUUAUGAUCAUUUUCCUUUCCUCCGCUAGACUUUCAAUUAUUUAUCUCUAAUUUACUCAUCAAUUCUCUAUCUUUCAUUUUUUACUAUACAUUAUCGCCUCCUUCCCUCACUCUCUUCCUCUCUCUUACUAAUGCGCACCCACUUUCCCCCUCCGCCGCAGUCGGAGGGAUCGUCGUCGCCGUCACUAUCACCAUCGCCAGAGAAGGCAUAGUCGGACACAUAUCCGCUGCCAACAGUGAGAGACCUUCGGCGGAUGUACCAAGUGAGAUACACAAAAGAAUAUUUAAUAUUUUUUAUUAUUAAUUACUAUUACGUUUUCUACCCACUGCAAAGCGCGGGCCCCUUCACUAGUGUGUGUGUAUAUAUAUAUAUAUAUAUAUAUAUAUAUAUAUAUAUAUAUAUAUUAUGAGUGCGGCUAGGAUGCUUAUGGAAGCACGGAGGGCUUCGUGCUUACACUUUGUUUUCGAUGUUCGGACUUUCGGAUCGACGAUCAGCUCCGUUAGACUUGAUCUAAAGUAUUUAAAGUAUAUAAAAAAUAAAUUUUGCGAUUUUUCGAUAUCAUUUGCCUAGUGAUCGAAGUGGCUUAAAAUCAACGGCUGAAAAUAAAAAUCUUACAAAAUAUGAUGAUAUGACAUUAAAAUUUUAGAUCAAAGUUAUUGAUCUUGUUUUAUAUGGUAUAAAGAAUUUUCUAUCAAAAUUUCAUAUGAUUUGGAUAUUUCUACACCGUUAAACUUGCAACCGGCUCACCACGGCUGUUAAAAUUAUUGAUCUUGAUCCCCUUCGAUUACUAGGCAAAUGAUAUCGAAAAAUCUCAAAUUUUAUUUUCUAAGUACUUCAAAUACUCUAGAUCAACUCAAACGGAGCUGAUCGUCGAUUCAAAAGUCCGAACAUCGAAAACGACUUAGAAGCACGGAGGCCUCCGUGCUUCCAUAAGCAUACCAGCACAACUCAUUAUAUAUAUAUANACCGGCUCACCACGGCUGUUAAAAUUAUUGAUCUUGAUCCCCUUCGAUUACUAGGCAAAUGAUAUCGAAAAAUCUCAAAUUUUAUUUUCUAAGUACUUCAAAUACUCUAGAUCAACUCAAACGGAGCUGAUCGUCGAUUCAAAAGUCCGAACAUCGAAAACGACUUAGAAGCACGGAGGCCUCCGUGCUUCCAUAAGCAUACCAGCACAACUCAUUAUAUAUAUAUAUAUAUAUAUAUAUAUAUAUAUAUAUAUAUAUAUAUAUAAAAGGAGUAGGGCUGCUGUGCUCUCAGGAGCACGGAGGCCUCCAUGCUCCUAAGCCGUUUCGAUGAUGGAAUUUUCGAAUUGACGAUCGGCUUCGUUAGACUUGAUCUAGCGCAUUUGAAGUUUCUAGAAAAUAUUUUUUGCGAUUUUUUGAUGAUCAAAAGGAUUCAAAAUUCAUAAUUUUUAAUGGUUGAUAUCUGCCGUUUUCAAGUUUAACGGUAUAGAAGUAUUCAAAUCAGAUGAAAUUUUGAUAGAAAAUUCUUUAUACUAUCUACAAUAAGAUCAAUAUUUCUGAUCGAAAAUUUAAUGCUAUAUCACCACUUUUUAUAGAAUUUUUAUUUUCAGCCGUUAAAAAUUAUUGAUUUUGAAUCCUUUCGAUUGCUAGGUAAAUGAUAUCGAAAAACCACAAAAAUUAUUUUCUACAAACUUCAAAUACGCUAGAUCAAGUUUAACGGAGCCGAUCGUCGAUUCGAAAAUUUCAUCAUCGAAAACGGUUCAGGAGCACGGAGGCCUCCGUGCUCCUGAGAACACCUACAAUACUAUCAAUAGACAACCCACUAAACCCUGAGGACCACUAAUGACUUGAUGCUACGUAUAGUAUUCUAUUCU
rnacentral:lncRNA from 1 species